rnacentral:tRNA from 8 species
GCGACACUAGCUCAGUUGGUAGAGCGCAACCUUGCCAAGGUUGAGGUCACGAGUUCGAACCUCGUG